UUCUCUUCCAACACCACGGCGGAGUCGCCAGUCUGCCUUUUGCAGACCCGGAUUAGAACUCUUACCUUAAUGAGGCGUAGUAAUUCUUUUGCGGUAGCUACGGGGGCUUUAGAGAGUACAGAUUGCUUUCACUGGCACGACGUAAAACUUCACGUUCAAUCCGGCUUUAAGAGAAGGAACGUUAGUUGAUCGUCUAUUGUAUUAUUGGACGCUAAAUUAGAUUACAGGACUAGAUGCUUCACAAAUAUCUAUUUCCAUCUUCAUAACCUAUGAGAUGUUAUUUAAGACCACUUUUAAGAUAAGAAUUCUUUCAAGAAUAAGUGGAAGGAUGUCAAUGAGGAGAUUCCAAACCAGAAGCUUCAAAUAUACUGGAAAAUAUUUUUCCUGGAAAAGCAUCUUUAAACAUGUUCUAACUAUGGCUUAUUACAUCAAGGGCAUUAAGUGACUGACACUGGAAACUCUGGUAAUUAAAAACAUGACAAUAGAUGGAA